rnacentral:misc_RNA from 1 species
AACGCACCUUGCGCUCCUUGGUAUUCCGAGGAGCAUGUCUGUUUGAGUGUCAUGAACUCUUCAACCCAUCAGUUUCUUAUGAACUGGCUGGUGUUUGGUUUCUGAGCGCUGCUGGUCCACGGAUCGAGCUCGUUCGUAAUGCAUUAGCAUCUCUAAUUCGACUUCGGAUUGACUCAGUGUAAUAGACUAUUCGCUGAGGACACGCCUCACGGUGUGGCCGAAUGAGAUCUCAGUAGAAGCUGCCAACCCUUCUAGUCAAUUUAAGAUUAGACCUCAGAUCAGAUAGGAUUACCCGCUGAACUUAA